rnacentral:SRP_RNA from 1 species
GCCAGGCGUGGUGGAGUGCACCUGUAGUCUCAGCUACUCGGGAGGCUGAGGCAGGAGAAUGGCAUGAAACCGGGAGGCGGAGGUUGCAGUGAGUCGAGAUCGUGCCACUGCACUCCAGCCUGGGUGACAGAGUGAGACUCCAUCUCAAAAAAAAAAAGUUCAAAUUUAAAAGGUUUUAUUUUAUUUAUUUAUUUAUUUAUUUUUGAGUCAGAGUUUCGCUGUUGUUGCCUAGGCUGGAGUGCAAUGGCGCGAUCUCGGCUCACCACAACCUCCGCCUCCCGGGUUCAAGUGAUUCUCCUGCCUCAG